rnacentral:rRNA from 1 species
GAUAAACGCUGGCGGCGUGCCUAAUGCAUGCAAGUCGAACGGAUAGUUUCUUCGGAGGCUAUUAGUGGCAAACGGGUGAGUAACACGUGGGGAUCUGCCCAGUAGUGGGGAACGAACUCCGAGAAAUCGGAGCUAAUACCGCAUACGGUCUGUGUCGAGGGGCGACGAGACUAAAGACCGACGUAAGUGGGCGCUAUUGGAGGAACCUGCGGCUGAUUAGCUAGUUGGUGGGAAAGGUCCGUACCAGCGAUGAUCAGUAGCUGGUCUGAGAGGAUGGACAGCCACACUGGGACUGGAGAUACGGCCCA